rnacentral:rRNA from 1 species
GACGAACGCUGGCGGCGUGCUUAACACAUGCAAGUCGAACGGAAAGGCCCUGCUUUUGUGGGGUGCUCGAGUGGCGAACGGGUGAGUAACACGUGAGUAACCUGCCCUUGACUUUGGGAUAACUUCAGGAAACUGGGGCUAAUACCGGAUAGGGGCUCCUGCUGCAUGGUGGGGGUUGGAAAGUUUCGGCGGUUGGGGAUGGACUCGCGGCUUAUCAGCUUGUUGGUGGGGUAGUGGCUUACCAAGGCUUUGACGGGUAGCCGGCCUGAGAGGGUGACCGGCCACAUUGGGACUGAGAUACGGCCCAGACUCCUACGGGAGGCAGCAGUGGGGAAUAUUGCACAAUGGGCGGAAGCCUGAUGCAGCAACGCCGCGUGCGGGAUGACGGCCUUCGGGUUGUAAACCGCUUUCGCCUGUAACGAAGCGUGAGUGACGGUAAUGGGUAAAGAAGCACCGGCUAACUACGUG